rnacentral:rRNA from 1 species
CCGCUAAGCCUAAAUAUUCCCUGGUGACCGAUAGCGGAUAGUACCGUGAGGGAAUGGUGAAAAGUACCGCGGGAGCGGAGUGAAAUAGUACCUGAAACCGUGUGCCUACAAGCCGUGGGAGCGUCGGGCAAGCACUUGUGUUUGCCUCGUGACUGCGUGCCUUUUGAAGAAUGAGCCUGCGAGUUUGCGGUGUGUUGCGAGGUUAACCCGUGUGGGGAAGCCGUAGCGAAAGCGAGUCCGAACAGGGCGUUU